GGCUGGCUCAGUCAGUAGAGCAUGUGACUCUUGAUCUCAGGGUCGUGAGUUCAAACCCCACAUUGGUCA
rnacentral:tRNA from 1 species